CACACUGGGACUGAGACACGGCCCAGACUCCUACGGGAGGCAGCAGUGGGGAAUAUUGCACAAUGGGCGAAAGCCUGAUGCAGCGACGCCGCGUGAGGGAUGAAGGCCUUCGGGUUGUAAACCUCUUUCAGCAGGGAAGAAGCGCAAGUGACGGUACCUGCAGAAGAAGCGCCGGCUAACUACGUGCCAGCAGCCGCGGUAAUACGUAGGGCGCAAGCGUUGUCCGGAAUUAUUGGGCGUAAAGAGCUCGUAGGCGGUUUGUCGCGUCUGGUGUGAAAACUCGAGGCUCAACCUCGAGCUUGCAUCGGGUACGGGCAGACUAGAGUGCGGUAGGGGAGACUGGAAUUCCUGGUGUAGCGGUGGAAUGCGCAGAUAUCAGGAGGAACACCGAUGGCGAAGGCAGGUCUCUGGGCCGCAACUGACGCUGAGGAGCGAAAGCAUGGGGAGCGAACAGGAUUAGAUACCCUGGUAGUCCAUGCCGUAAACGUUGGGCACUAGGUGUGGGGCUCAUUCCACGAGUUCCGUGCCGCAGCAAACGCAUUAAGU
rnacentral:rRNA from 1 species